CCUGUUUUUUGAAUAAGAAAUCUUUAUUGGCGUCCCACCUGAACAAGUUCAGCGUCGUUCUCGCGAGAGGCCACCAGAGGGCGCAAGAGACCGCGGGGGUGGAAAAGGCCGCUCGCUCGAGAUUGCGCGCAGACCGGAUCUCACUACGUUGCCCAGGAUGGUCUUGAACUCCUGGACUCAAGCAAGCCUCUUGCCUCGGCCUCCUAAAAAGCUGGGAUGACAGGCAUGAGUCACCGUGCCCAGUCUUCAUUCUUUAAAUAUUUGGUAGAAUUCAUCAGUGAAGCCAUCUCAUCCGGGGCUUUUCUUUGUUGACAGAUUUUUUAUUACUGAUUCAAUCUCAUUCUAACUAUAGGGUUUGACUCUUUUCACCGACAAUAAUCUGGUGCCCAACAUUGGGCCUCGGAGAAGACUCAGGACCCUGAAGGAGUUGCCCAAAACUGGAGCUAAGGUACCAGCAGGAGCCCAUUGAAGCCUCACCGAAUUCGAGCUUCUCCUUCGGUGGAACUGGGAAGUUCUCCUGAGCCCCAACCUCCUGUUUUGGUUGAUGGUCCUUGAUUUAUUCUAAGCUGAUUUUUUCCUCUCUGUCUUUUCUCCUAGGAAGUUGGUUAAAAUCUUAAUUUUAGUUUCAGAAGUGCAUUCAAAAGGAUCUUUCUCCAUUGCCUUUUCUCUCAAAAUUAAUCUCAAUUGGCUUGUCUGUGCACACUUUGCGUGAGGAACUGAACUGUUGUUUUUCAUAAGUAAGUGAGAGACUGAGUUCCUCAGCUCUGAAGUGAAAGGGCAUUUUGCUCCUCC
rnacentral:lncRNA from 1 species